CCGAACGGUUCGUGUCCCUCUGCGGCUCUCACUCUGUCUCUGUCCUCGACGGCGGCGAUACACACCCUCACACCCUAUGCCCCAUCUCGCUGCCGAGCGACCCAGCCCCCUCGCUCCGUGGAUCGUCUUCCUCCUCGCGCGAGCGCCUCCACCGCAGGCAAUCAAGGUUUUCCUUCCUUUCUGAAAAUGGAAUGUAGUUCAGAUGAUGGUUCAGAGAUUAGCAAUACUGAGAUUGAUGAGUACGAAGGCAAAAUUUAUGCAAGCUUGAUGUCAGGUGAUUUAAAAGUUAACAACGGUGAAAGUUACAGUUGCCCAUUCUGUAGCGGAAAGAAGAAGAAAAAUUACACUUUGCAUAAUCUUCUUCAGCAUGCCUCAGGAGUAGGUGCAGCACCUAAUAGACCAGAAAAAGAAAAGGCAACCCACCGUGCCCUUGCCAAACAUUUGAAGAAUGGCCUUGCUAAAUCGCCCGAACCACAGUCACAGCUAGUUGAUGUGGAGCCACAACCACUUCCAGGCAGAUAUGAGAAGUUUGUGUGGCCCUGGAUGGGUGUUGUAGCUAAUGUGCCUACUGAAUGGAAGGAUGGGUGUCAGAUUGGAGAAAGUGGAAAUCGUUUGAAGGAGCAACUAUCACGCUUUUGCCCACUGAAGGUUAUUCCUUUAUGGAAUUUUAAAGGUCAUACAGGGAAUGCUAUUAUUGAGUUUGGAAAAGACUGGAAUGGUUUCAGAAAUGCACUUGCAUUUGGAAAUUACUUUGAGGCAGAAGGUUAUGGCAAAAGGGACUGGAAACAAAAACAGAAUCAAGGGUCAAAUCUUUUUGGAUGGGUUGCAAAGGCUGAAGAUCAUAGUUCUCCAGGUCCGAUUGGGGAUCACUUAAGGAAAAAUGGUGACUUGAAAACUAUCAAUGAUCUUGAAAAUGAAGGAACACGUAAAAAUGACGAACUUGUAGCUAAUUUAGCUAACCAAAUUGAGGCCAAGAAUAAGUAUUUAGAGGACCUUGAAUUUAGAUACAAUGAGACAACCGCAUCACUUGCGAAGAUGAUGGGGCAAAGGGAACUACUUCUCCAUGCAUAUAAUGAAGAAAUUCGGAAGAUGCAGCAGCUAGCUCACAGACAUUCUCAAAAGAUCAUAGAUGAGAACCAAAAUCUGCGUUCAGAACUGGAGUCCAAGAUGAGUGAGCUUAAUGCGAGAAAGAAGCAGCUUGAUGACCUUGCUGCAAAAAGUUAUUGUGAUAGAAGGAUUCUUGAGCAGGAGAAGCAGAAGAAUGCUAUUAGAUCAAACCAUCUUAAGUUGGCAACAGUGGAACAACAGAGAGCUGGUGAGGAUGUGCUGAAGCUGGUGGGAGAACAGAAGAGAGCGAAAGAAGCUGCUUUAGACAAUAUCCUGAAGUUAGAGCAGCGGUUGGAGGCAAAACAGACGCUUGAAUUAGAAAUUCAGCAGCUGAAGGGCAAAUUGGAAGUGAUGAAGCAUAUGCCAGGUCAUGAAGAUUCAGAGUCGAAGAAUAAAAUCGAUGAACUUAGCGCGGAGCUGCAAGAUAAGAUAGAUGAACUGGAUGCUAUGGAGUCACUUAACCAAACUCUAGUUAUUAAAGAAAGCAAAAGUAAUAUUGAGAUGCAAGAAGCUCGGAAGGAGCUGGAAAAUGUACGUUUAUUGUUAGGGCUUUCUUUAUCUUUCUGGUGGCCAGGCACAUAUAGGAAUCAAGAGAAUGGGUGAGCUCGAUCUCAAAGCAUUUUCAAGUGCUUGCAGACAGAAGUCAUCGAAAGAGGAAGCAGAAGUUACUGCUGCCAUUCUUUGUUCAAAGUGGGAAGCUGAAAUUAGAAAUCCAGAAUGGCACCCUUUCAGGGCUGUCAUGGUUGAUGGGAAGGAAACGGAAAUAAUUGAUGCUGAUGACGCAAAACUUCAAGAACUAAAAGGAGAGCAUGGUGAAGAAGUAUAUGCGUUGGUGACAAAGGCACUGCAUGAAAUUAAUGAGUACAAUGCUACCGCCAGGUAUCCCAUAGGAGAGCUGUGGAACUUCAGAGAAGAGCGGAAGGCGUCUCUGAAGGAAGCUGUUCAGUUUGUCAUGAGACAGUGGCGAAUGAACAAGAAAAAACGUUGAGCCUAUUUAUCCAGUCGUGCCACCGCUUUCCACCUGGUCUGGGGGUUAUGCUACACUAGCGUUAGAGCUUUUGAACCUGUAGUAUGCUUUUGAACCUGGGCGUCAUGGCUCUAUGCUGGGCAUAAGUUAAAUAUUCCUGCUCCAGCAGUAGCGUUAGCGUAGUCUGUUUAUCCAGCUGUGUAGUUUGGUUUGUUCUUAAGCACCUAUUGACCUAUGUGGGAUGUCCGUUAUUGAGAACUGAUUUUGUAGGUCUGCAACGGUGUAAGCAGAUGCAGCAGACGACCAAGGCUGUACUGUAGUUCAGUUCUUCGGUGUCCAUGAAACACUGCGAGAAGCGAAACUGCACGGUCUUUUUUUAUUCUAAAA